rnacentral:rRNA from 1 species
UCACCGGCCGGACACUGUUAGGAUGGACAGAUUGACAGCUCUUUCUUGAUUCGGUGGGUGGUGGUGCAUGGCCGUUCUUAGUUGGUGGAGUGAUUUGUCUGGUUAAUUCCGAUAACGAACGAGACUCUAGCCUACUAAAUAGUCGCNNNAUUAUUCUGGCUGCGGAACUUCUUAGAAGGA